rnacentral:rRNA from 1 species
CCUACGGGUGGCAGCAGUGGGGGAUAUUGCACAAUGGGGGAAACCCUGAUGCAGCGACGCCGCGUGAGCGAUGAAGUAUUUCGGUAUGUAACGCUCUAUCAGCAGGGAAGAAAAUGACAGUACCUGACUCAGACGCCCCGGCUAACUACGUGCCAGCAGCCGCGGUAAUCCGUAGGCGGCAAGCGUUAUCCGGAUUUACUGGGUGUAAAGGGAGCGUAGACGGCAGUGCAAGUAUGAAGUGAACGGCAAGGGCUCAACCCUUGUACUGCUUUUGAACCGGGGCUGCUGGAGUGUCGGAGAGGCAAGUGGAAUUCGUAGUGUAGCGGUGAAAUGCGUAGAUAUUAGGAGGAACACCAGUGGCGAAGGAGGCUUGCUGGACGAUGACUGACGUUGAGGCUCGAAAGCGUGGGGAGCAAACAGGAUUAGAUACCCUUGUAGUC